rnacentral:rRNA from 1 species
AUUGAACGCUGGCGGCAGGCCUAACACAUGCAAGUCGAACGAGUGGCGGACGGGUGAGUAAUGUCUGGGAAACUGCCUGCUGGAGGGGGAUAACUACUGGAAACGGUAGCUAAUACCGCAUACCAUCGUAUGUUCCCAGAUGGGAUUAGCUAUUAGGUGGGGUAAAGGCUCACCUAGGCGACGAUCCCUAGCUGGUCUGAGAGGAUGACCAGCCAAACUGGACUGGAGACACGGGCAAGCCCCUUACGGGAGGAACAAGUGGGGAACAUUGCACAAUGGGCGCAAGCCUGAUGCAGCACUGCCGCGUGGAGGAAGAAGGCUUUGGGGUUGAAAAGUACUUUGAGCGGGGAGGCGUUACCCGACGAAGAAGGACCGGCUAACUCCGUGCCAGCAGCCGCGGUAAUAC